rnacentral:tRNA from 1 species
GGCUCGGUAGCUCAGUGGUAGAGCGGGGGACUCAUAAGCCCUAGGUCGUAGGUUCGAAUCCUACCCGAGUCA